ensembl:lncRNA OR2W1-AS1 OR2W1 antisense RNA 1
AAGGCUGUUGUCUGUUGUCAUCAGGACCAGGUGGCUGAUUUAGGUUCCAGGCAGAAUGGAAUUGGGUGCCCUGGAAGCCUGAGGUAGAUUUGGUACUAUGGAGGGUGCACUUGCUGAUAUGAAGUUUUAUUUUAUACAAAUCCUGGAGAAGCUAAGUGAGGCCAUGUCAGUGUUGCCAGAAGACAUGAGAAUCAUGCCAGAUCUCUGUGGCUUAACAUUGGAACAUAGUGUUCUGGAGGCUGGGAAGUUCAAGAUCAAGGUACCAGCAAAUUUCAUUACCUGGUGCCCCAUAAUGGCACACAGCUUUACUCAGCAACCCCUGCCAGCUUCCAAGCCCCAGGAUACUGACCUGCACCAGCACAUGGGGCAGCAUUACCUCCCCAACAGUGUGGAGAAGAGAACAUUUCACCACUGGGUGAUGAGAGUAGACAGUGACUCUUGGCUUCUCAAUGCUAGACAUGAUUGG